rnacentral:rRNA from 1 species
AAUCUUCCACAAUGGGCUAAAGGCUGCUGUAGCAACGCCGCGUGACUGAAGAAGGUUNNNGGAUCNUAAAACUCCUUCGUAUGNGUANAACAAGUAAAGUUGUAACUGGCUGUACCUUGACGGUACCUUAUGACACAGCCACGUCUAACUACGUUCCAGCAGCCGCGGCAAUACGUAGGUGGCAAGCGUUGUCCGGAAUUAUUGGGUGUAAAGCGCGCGCAGGCGGUCCUUUAAGUCUGAUGUGAAAGCCUACGGCUCAACCGUGGAGGGUCAUUGGAAACUGGGGGACUUGAGUGCAGAAGAGGAAAGUGGAAUUCCAAGUGUAGCGGUGAAAUGCGUAGAGAUUUGGAGGAACACCAGUGGCGAAGGCGACUUUCUGGUCUGUAACUGACGCUGAGGCGCGAAAGCGUGGGGAGCAAACA